GACGAACGCUGGCGGCGUGCUUAACACAUGCAAGUCGAACGGAGCGAAUGAAAGCUUGCUUUUAUGAGCUUAGUGGCAAACGGGUGAGUAACACGUAGGCAACCUGCCGACAGGAUGGGGACAACAUUCCGAAAGGAAUGCUAAUACCGAAUGAAGCGGAGGAGAGGCAUCUCCCCUCCGUGAAAGAUGGCCUCUUUUUAUGCUAUCACCUGUCGAUGGGCCUGCGUCUGAUUAGCUGGUAGGUGAGGUAACGGCUCACCUAGGCGACGAUCAGUAGCCGGUCUGAGAGGAUGAACGGCCACAUUGGGACUGAGACACGGCCCAGACUCCUACGGGAGGCGGCAGUGGGGAAUCUUCCGCAAUGGGCGCAAGCCUGACGGAGCAACGCCGCGUGAGUGAAGAAGGUCUUCGGAUCGUAAAGCUCUGUUGAUGGGGUCGAACGUGCCUAAUGCGAAUAGUUUUAGGCAA
rnacentral:rRNA from 1 species